rnacentral:rRNA from 1 species
CCUACGGGAGGCAGCAUUGAGGAAUAUUGGUCAAUGGGCGUAAGCCUGAACCAGCCAAGUCGCGUGAGGGAUGAAGGUUCUAUGGAUUGUAAACCUCUUUUAUAAGGGAAUAAAGUGAGGGACGUGUCCCGGUCUGUAUGUACCUUAUGAAUAAGGAUCGGCUAACUCCGUGCCAGCAGCCGCGGUAAUACGGAGGAUCCGAGCGUUAUCCGGAUUUAUUGGGUUUAAAGGGUGCGUAGGCGGCCUUUUAAGUCAGCGGUGAAAGUCUGUGGCUCAACCCUAGAAUUGCCGUUGAAACUGGGGGGCUUGAGUAUGUUAGAGGCAGGCGGAAUGCGUGGUGUAGCGGUGAAAUGCUUAGAUAUCACGCAGAACCCCGAUUGCGAAGGCAGCCUGCCGGGCCAUAACUGACGCUGAUGCACGAAAGCGUGGGGAUCAAACAGGAUUAGAUACCCGAGUAGUC